CGGUAGGAUUUUUAUAUUAAACCCCCCUUUAAUGGCGGUUCCCAUAAAUUAGAGGAACAUGUUUUUUAAUCGACAAUACACGCUAACUUUCACUUGCAAACACUAAAGCUUAUAUACCGCCGCACAGAUUUCAGUUAAAAAAGAAAUCAAAAACAUUAAAAAUAACAACUCCGGGUCAAGGUGUAACCAAUAUGCAAGAAAACAAUGUGUUACACUAAAAAUCAUUUAAGGAUUUUCACUUAAAGUAAAUAAAGGAAAAAGAAUCAAAAAGUAAGAAAUGAAUUAAAAAUCAUAACAGAAAAAAAAUGGAGAAUG
rnacentral:rRNA from 1 species